UUCUGGUUGAUCCUGCCGGACCUGACUGCUAUCGGAUUGAUACUAAGCCAUGCGAGUCAUUGUAGCAAUACAAGGCAUACGGCUCAGUAACGCGUAGUCAACCUAACCUAUGGACGGGAAUAACCUCGGGAAACUGAGAAUAAUGCCCGAUAGAACAUUAUGCCUGGAAUGGUUUAUGUUCCAAAUGAUUUAUCGCCGUAGGAUGGGACUGCGGCCUAUCAGUUUGUUGGUGAGGUAAUGGCCCACCAAGACUAUUACAGGUACGGGCUCUGAGAGGAGUAGCCCGGAGAUGGGUACUGAGACACGGACCCAGGCCCUAUGGGGCGCAGCAGGCGAGAAAACUUUGCAAUGUGCGAAAGCACGACAAGGGUAAUCCGAGUGGUUUCUGCUAAAGGAACCUUUUGUUAGUCCUAGAAACACUAACGAAUAAGGGGUGGGCAAGUUCUGGUGUCAGCCGCCGCGGUAAAACCAGCACCUCAAGUGGUCAGGAUGAUUAUUGGGCCUAAAGCAUCCGUAGCCGGCUCUGUAAGUUUUCGGUUAAA
rnacentral:rRNA from 1 species